GGGAAAUACAUUUCAGAUUAAGAGGUUAACUUUUCAAACUCUUUUCACAGCAAUUUUAAAUUGAAAGAAUAUGUGAAUGUUAGAAAAUGGAAGAAAAGAGCAUUUGACCAGAUGGAGAGAGCAAUGAGAAGCAAAAGAUGAGCAAUUAGCAGAGAAGUGGCUUCAUGUGGUGCAGAUGUUCCUGAAUGGACCAGUGAUAUCAAUGCCUGAAAUCUAGAUCUGUGGAAGAUGGAAUCUUCUUCCAAACAAAUCCUCUGACAGAUCGAGUAGCUAUCCACUUAAUACAAUUUCAAAAGAGCAAAAAGAACUACAAAAUAACUCUGAAAGAGAAAAAGAUUCUAUAGAAGAUGGCUUCACCAAUAGUAAUUGAUGGGAAUGAAGAAUUUAUAUAGCCUGCUUCCUGUCAUCUCACUCCUGAUUGAUGGGGAAAAAAAGAACCUAGAAGGCCAAUGAGACCAACAGGUAAGAAUUUUGUCACCUUUCCAAAGCCAGGAUGGAUCCAGAAAUUCUUCCUCUUGCCAGAUGAAACAUCAACUGUUGAAAUCCAGCUCCAGUAGUGAAAUAAAGGUGUGUUAUGCAAGGGCCAGGCAGAGAGAAGUUCAAUAUGAACUCUUGAAAUUUUAUUGAUCAAAAGGUUCUGAUAAAGGCCUCAUUUCCAAAAUAUAUAGAGAAUUAACUCUAAUUUAUAAAAAAUCAAGCCAUUCUCCAA
rnacentral:lncRNA from 1 species